GGAUUGCCCCAGUAACGGCGAGUGAAGCGGCAAUAGCUCAAAUUUGAAAUCUGGCCCCUUUGGGGUCCGAGUUGUAAUUUGUAGAGGAUGCUUCGGCGUAGGCCCCGGGUUAGGUUCCUUGGAACAGGACGUCAUAGAGGGUGAGAACCCCGUCUUUGCCUGGGAUCCCUUCGCCAUGUGAAGCUCCUUCGACGAGUCGAGUUGUUUGGGAAUGCAGCUCUAAGCGGGAGGUAAAUUUCUUCUAAAGCUAAAUAACGGCCAGAGACCGAUAGCGCACAAGUAGAGUGAUCGAAAGAUGAAAAGCACUUUGGAAAGAGAGUUAAAAAGCACGUGAAAUUGUUGAAAGGGAAGCUCUUGCUACCAGACUUGCCUGUGGUUGUUCAGCCGUUCUUCUGAUCGGUGUACUCUUCCACUGGCAGGCCAGCGUCAGUUUAGGCGGCCGGAUAAAGACCUUGGGAAUGUAGCUUCCUCCGGGGGGUGUUAUAGCCUGGGGUGCAAUGCGGCCAGCCUGGACUGAGGACCGCGUCUUACUAGGAUGCUGGCGUAAUGGUCGCAAGCGACCCGUCUUGAAACACGGACCAAGGAGUCUAACAUCUGUGCGAGUGUUUGGGUGCAAAACCCAUACGCGUAAUGAAAGUGAACGGAGGUGGGAACCGUAAGGUGCACCAUCGACCGAUCCUGAUGUCUUCGGAUGGAUUUGAGUAAGAGCAUAGCUGUUGGGACCCGAAAGAUGGUGAACUAUGCGUGGAUAGGGUGAAGCCAGAGGAAACUCUGGUGGAGGCUCGCAGCGGUUCUGACGUGCAAAUCGAUCGUCAAAUCUGCGUAUAGGGGCGAAAGACUAAUCGAACCAUUACUUGGCUAUACCAGUAUUGCUAGGUGGUUAAGAGGUGGCUUAAAGGGCCACCUAGUAACGGGGUCUUGAAGGCUCUAGUUGCGAUAUCAUCAAAUUGCGGGAACUCGCAGUUAAUCCUAGGCUACCGCUAGACCCUCGUCAUUUGUAGAGGGUUGUGCACCGGAGGUAACGCUACCGGGUAUGGUAACAACGCCUAGGCUAUGCGUAAUCUGCAGCCAAGUCCUUUUUAACAAUGGAUGCAGUUCACAGGCCAAAUGGUGAUAGGUCUAGCUAGGCGGACUAGAAUGCCGCCAGUUAUGGCUUAAGAUAUGGUCGCACCCCUCUUUAGACGGAGGGGACCGGAGGAACUUCUCUUUUCAAAUCUAUGCAUUUCGAACCUGGCAAAUACUAGGGCGAUGCUAUUGAAUUGAGACUCCCUCUAGGUCUUGUGCUAGUAGCUGGUUCCAGCCGAAGUUUCCCUCAGGAUAGCAGUAACGUUUUCAGUUUUAUGAGGUAAAGCGAAUGAUUAGAGGCCUUGGGGAUGCAACAUCCUUAACCUAUUCUCAAACUUUAAAUAUGUAAGA
rnacentral:rRNA from 1 species